rnacentral:rRNA from 1 species
AUUGAACGCUGGCGGCAUGCUUUACACAUGCAAGUCGAACGGUAGAGGGGGCAACCCCUUGAGAGUGGCGAACGGGUGAGUAAUAUAUCGGAACGUGCCCAGUCGUGGGGAUAACGUAGCGAAAGUUACGCUAAUACCGCAUACGAUCUAAGGAUGAAAGCGGGGGACUCGCAAGAACCUCGCGCGAUUGGAGCGGCUGAUAUCAGAUUAGGUUGUUGGUGAGGUAAAAGCUCACCAAGCCGACGAUCUGUAGCUGGUUUGAGAGAACGACCAGCCACACUGGGACUGAGACACGGCCCAGACUCCUACGGGAGGCAGCAGUGGGGAAUUUUGGACAAUGGGCGAAAGCCUGAUCCAGCAAUGCCGCGUGCAGGAAGAAGGCCUUC